UUUGAAGUUGGAGAAUUGGGAUACAAGAGAGAGAUUAUGGAGAGGAACUAAGUGGGAGGUUAAUUUCUCCAAGUGAAAAUUCUUGGUUGCCUCCUGCGAAUUUAUUUUUCGAUAUAUUCAUUGUCAUUCCCAUGGACGAUGGUGCUUUGAUCCAAUGUGAUACAAAUCUUAGCUCAACAUCACAAGACAUUGGUGGUUAGUUGAAAAAUAUUUGAGUCGGUUCGAUUUUUGUAAUUUGAAAGUUUGUUUUCCAUAUUUUAGUUGUAAAAAAUCAUUGUACACUACGUUAUAACUCUACAGUUGACAUCUAGAAUUCCCGACGUAAGCUAAGGGACCUUGUUCGUAUCUUCUGCUUGGAUCUGCUGCUCGAGCGGGAGAAGUUGCACUUGCUGCAAGAUAGCGCAUUUCGUUUGUCUUAUAGUUUCGUGGCUUGGCGGCUCUUCACUUGCAUGAUCAAAGUUCAUCCCGAAUUGCUCUAAAUAACCUCUUCUUCUUCAUUGUUUUCACAAUUUCUCCUCAAGCCACGCUUCGUUCAACAAAAAUCAAUAGAUAAUAAUUCAAAACACUAAUUAAAGUCUCGUAAAAUGAGCUAAGAUCCAUGUAUAAUUUCCAGGUAACGUUCGUCCUUUCGGAAAAAUCACCCGUCUUUAUUAAUUCUCUCAUGCUAGCAGACUUUACAGGGGUGGUCUUCGUUAAGCCUCGUAAGUAGAAUUUUUGUUUCGUUGUUUCUUCUCAUGUAAUACAAUAAAGAUACUUGCGUAAGACCCAACUAUUUGCAUAGUUGUCGGCAUUUCAUUGCCCGUUUCCUUUCUUAUUUCAGUCCUAUAUUCUAAACAGUUGGACUGAAGAACCAAUUUACACUUGGAAUAUUUUAUAAGGAACUGGGUAGGGUCGCUCUCUGAUAUAGACAAGAAACGAAUUGAUUCAAAAAUAAUUACAAUUUACUCAAUAUAUUGACAAGAGAGCAACGACAAGCAUCGCUUUGCGAUUUAUGCUGUAUUUAACAGUUGAAUUAAUACGUCCAUUGCAGAUGCACUAAUAUAUUUCAGGCCGAGAUUAUUAUUUUCUACUUAAAAGAGAGAGUAUUCAAGAAAAUGACUAUAGAAUCAGUCAGUGUAAUUUCAUUCUCAUCAAAUCCAAUUAAGAUAGUGCAGCUAUGAAACUUGUACAUUUCAUGAGUGUUAAGACCUUCCUGUACUGCAAAAGCAAACAGGACUUAAACAACUAACGCACUGUAAACUGUAAACUAUUGAUUUCUCAAGUGCCUGAUGUUAGAAAUACUAAAUGAUUACAAUAAAUUGGAUCAAACUUUGCUGCUGACCUUUUUUUUUUUUUUUUUCAGCAGUACUUCAACUACACGAAGGGAUUCAAGAAUUGGUUUCUUUUUAUGCCCCGUUUG
rnacentral:lncRNA from 1 species